UUUAAAUUGAGAGUUUGAUCCUGGCUCAGGAUGAACGCUGGCGGCGUGCUUAACACAUGCAAGUCGAGCGAUGAAGUU
rnacentral:rRNA from 1 species